rnacentral:rRNA from 1 species
UACGUAGGGUGCAAGCGUUUGUCCGGAAUUAUUGGGCGUAAAGAGCUCGUAGGCGGUUUGUCGCGUCGGCUGUGAAAGCCCGGAGCUCAACUCCGGGUCUGCAGUCGAUACGGGCAGACUUGAGUGUUGCAGGGGAGACUGGAAUUCCUGGUGUAGCGGUGAAAUGCGCAGAUAUCAGGAGGAACACCGGUGGCGAAGGCGGGUCUCUGGGCAACAACUGACGCUGAGGAGCGAAAGCGUGGGGAGCGAACAGG